UUAGAGCCUACCUAAAAAAUUUCACUAGAAGAGGUUGUUUUGAUGCACAAAUCUCCAAAUCUGGCUGGAGCGGGCCCAAAUAUCGCCAAAAAAAUCCGGUUCAAAAUGCCGAACAGCCCUCUCAAAAUGCCGCUAAGCCAUCAUGACCUACACAAAAAGUUAUCCUUCCCUCACCAAACAAAUUAUUUUCGUUGGAGAAAGCUGUUCGGCAUUUUGAACAGGAUUUUUUUUGGCGAUUUUGUUUUGCUGGAAUAGGCGGUCCGGCAUUUCAUGAUGGCGGUCUGGCGUUUCAUGGUGGCGGUCCGGCAAUUAUUAUUUUUGCUGGAAUGGGCUGUCCGGCAUUUUGAAGUUACGGUUCGGCAUUUUGAAGGGGCAUUUUGGUAUUUUGAUAUGGAGGUCCGAUAUUUUGUAGGGGCAGUCCGGUGUUUUGAAGUACGUCGGACUGAACAGUCUUGCGUUUCUUUUUAUUGGGUUCCGAAAGUGAUUUGUUAUGUGAGGACAAGGUAUUUUUUUCAAAAAAAAAAAAAAACUAUUUAUAUAGGUGUAUUAGCUAGAAAACAUCAUUUUUUGGGGAGGAGUUGCUAGGAAAAGUUGGUGGGGUGUAAAGUGGGUAACAAGUCCGUCUGGGGGGUUUUAGCUCUUUUCUAUGCUCAUUUCUUUCUCUCUCCUCCGUGGUUUUCUUCCUCAUCCCUGUGCCAAGCCAUUCCCUGCUCAAACCGGUUGCUCGCGCACUCUCUCUGCCUCUCGCUUCCUGUCUCUCUUUCUCCUAAUCGUUCAGAAAACCCCAUUGGCCCCCCGCCUUCCCUGUCCAAAGGCCAUUCCCCUGCUCGAACCCACAGGCCGCUCGCUGGCUCUCGCUGCCGCUCGAGCACCAUCUCGCAUAGUCAUUCCUUGCUCAAACCAAAGGGCCGCUCGCUCACUCUCUCUGCCUCUCGGUCCUUGUCUCUCUCUUUCCCCUAAUCAUUCAGAAAAAUCCAUCGACGCCUCGCCUUCCCUGUCCAAAGGCCAUUCCACUGCUCGAACCCACAGGCCGCUCGCUGGCUCUCUUUGCCGCUCGAGCACCUUCUCGUGCAGGUACUCUCUCUCUCUCUCUCUCUUCAUAUUUGACUCAUAAAAUUUCCAUCGAUUUUGUGUGGUGUAUGUAUUUCAAAUGGAAAUGCACCCCCAUUAGCAACAGAGGAAGAUGAGGGACUUUUGUGACACAAAGGAGAUUCAUGUGACUGCAAUACUCUCCUUUAUUGCUUGUCCUGUUGCAGUCUUGGACUAUGAAGUUCUCCAUGAAAUAGCUCGGGCCAAAGGAAAAACUGCUACUCAACGUUAAGGACAAAACAUGUCGUAAGCUUCGAACCCAUAAGGUGGCAGUAGAUGUGAGUUGAUGGUAAGAAGCAAUUAUUUGGAAGAUAGGACAAAUUCAUAUGGAACAACUUCAAAAGAGGGGUUAUGUAGCUCUUUUUUCAAAUGAAGGGCUAUGCCAUUCACUCAAAAAAAAGAUGUAGGUUGUAUGCCAUUGUACUCUUUUCACGUUUUUUUGGGUUGUAAGAAAGUGAUAUGUAAGGUGAUUGGGUAUAAGGAACGAACCAUUUCGCAAGUAGUUGAUGAAUUGUAUGUAAUAUUAUAGUUAUAAAAUGCAAUGCAUUAUCACUAUGGCAAUAGUUUAUCA